rnacentral:lncRNA from 1 species
GGCGGGUGCCCCUCCCCCAGCCUCGCUGCCACCUUGCAGUUUGAUCUCAGACUGCUGUGCUAGUAAUCAGCGAGAUUCCGUGGGCGUAGGAGCCUCCAAGCCAGGUGUGGGAUAUAAUCUCGUGGUUCGCCCUUUUUUGAGGGGUCUGAAAAGCGCAGUAUUUAGGGUGGGAGUGACCCGAUUUUCCAGGUGCCGUCUGUCACGCCUUUCUUUGACUUGGAAAGGGAACUCCCUGACCCCUUGCGCUUCCCAAGUGAGGCAAUGCCUCGCCCUGCUUGGGCUCGCGCAGGGUGCACGCACCCACUGGCCUGCGCCCACUGUCUGGCACUCCCUAGUGAGAUGAACCCGGUACCUCAGAUGGAAAUGCAGAAAUCACCGGUCUUUUGCAUCGCUCACGCUGGGAGCUGUAGACCGGAGCUUUUCCUGUUCGGCCAUCUUGGCUCCUCUAUCGGUGUUGUACUUCUUUAAAGGUCCUGAAGAAAAUGAAGUUGAUGUUUCAGUGAGACACCUGUAUGCCAGAGAGUAAAAGGGAUUAUUGUGGAUUCCUGAGAAUUUUCUACAUAUGAAAUCAUGUCAUCUAUGAACAGAGAUGGGACUGUCUCGUUGGAGGAAAACAAGCUCAGGGCUCCCACUGAUUCCACAUUAUGUUGCAAGCUCCUACGAAGCUCCCACUCAAAAAGAAAAAAAAAACAAAACCUGAAAUCUGAAAUAGAAAUUAUCAGCCCGAGAAUGAGAUGUCCCUAAUGCAUAAAGAGUUCUGCUAAGGAAAUGAAGCAUGUUCUUCAAGCAAGAAAGAAACUCUUUUCUGGAUUACAGUUAUUCUGACAGCCACAGGCCUCACAGAACUAGCAUAGCCAAGAUUUACACUUCAAAGGUAAUAUAUGAAGCAGUAAUAUGUCACCUGAUGAUAAUGCAUAUUCCUUUGUGUACUUGAUCUUAGUGAUAUUAAAUCCUUUUUUAUAUACACAUGCAAAUAAACUAUGCCAUGGUUAAAUUUUGCUGUAAAAUGUCCAAUUGUUCAAGUGAUUAGGAAAAGGUUAUAAUUUCUUAAGACCAUAUCAACACAUUAACUCAUUUUUUUCCUAGGAAUAGAAUAAAAAAAUACAUGACUAU